CUACAUGCAUCAAUGAUAAACAUUUAUCUUAGACAUACAGACGACCUAGUCGCUUCGGUAAACACAACCCACCUUAAUUCGCACUCCGAUUGCUCGUAGUCACUUGCAAUCGGCCUCCCGCGGCACCCGUGACCCGGUUCGGCCCGAACUCUAGCGCGACCACUCGAACGGCCACCGAUCCACGAUUCGAAAAUUCUGGAGUUAUUC
rnacentral:lncRNA from 1 species